AGUGGAAAUGUAAACGAAGAAGAAGAAGAAGCAUCAUCGUCAGGACCAUCGACUCCUGCUAUUUUUGUAUUUGAUCAUUUUUCAACUGGAGUUGAAAUGAUGUAAGUUUGAUAUGCAAAUAUAUUUUGCCUAUUUUCUGCAAUACACGGCAUUUGGGAACAUUGUAAAAACAAACAUUGUUUUUCUGAGUGGUUCUCGAACUUUCCAGUACUGAACAAGUUAGGAUUUAUCAUAAAACGUUAGCACCUAGUGUCAUAUUUCUGCAAACGGACGAUAUAUAUUCAAUUAGGAGAGUGAUUGGCUACUUUAAUAAAAACAAAUAAACCCUAGAAACCAUCUAAGCUAUAAACUACUUUGCAAUUUGAUAUAUAUUUUUGAACUCAUUUGUUGUGCGAAAAACUUCAAUUUUAUCCACUCCUUUUAGUAAGUAAGUGGUCCACUGAAUGAGUGUACUGUGAGACUAGAAAACAUCUUCCUACCUUUAUUGUUAUUGUUAUAAAUAUAAUUCAACUUUAUUGUUAUAAAUAUAAUUCAACAAACGCUGAUACCAAAAAUUUGAUACCAAAAUUUUAAAUUUUAAAUUGUUUCAUCACCGGAACGAAUAUUUUACUCCCAACUUUUUUGUGUCGAUUUUUGUAUCUAUGCUACAUCUGAAAAUCAGAAUUGAGAUUGUUAAAAAAAAGUUAUUAUGUCAUUUGUAUCAUUUGGCAAGGUUGACUUGAUACUUCAUAUCACAUCAGAAAUUUUGAAUUUUGACCUUUGGGAAACGUUAUUUGUCCCAAACAGUUUUAAGAAUGGACGAUAAUUAGAAUAAAUUGAAUCAAAUUAGCUACUACUGAAACAGCGUAUUUUUCUCUAAAAACAAGGAAACCUGAAGAACUUUGAACAUGUCGACCCACAUCACCGGAACGAAUCUUUUACUCCCAACUUUUUUUUUGUGUCAAUUUUUGGUCAAAAUGGGAAGAUUCGUAUUUUAAAAUUCUGAUGCUACCACGAGUUUGGAGAUUUGCGUGCAGAUUUUUACUCAAAGAGGAAGAAAGUAAUAAUAACCAACUUCCUAUCUCCCUUGUACUCAAAGUGUUUGGUUCUGCAACAUUACUCAUGUUUGCUCUUUCCAAUUUUUUGCUGUGCUUUUUUUGAAAUAUGACAGGCCAAAUCUAUAUUUUUAAAAGAAUAUAUGUUUGCUCAUAUAGUAAAAGAGUGAGUUUUCAUAAAAAUUCCAACGUUUAUUUCAUAGAACUCAAUUUUGACUGAAUGUAUGCCGAGGCAAAGCCGGUGGAGAAAAUGUUUAACGAGUACGUCUACACUAUUUUGUAAUUAUUUUAUUUACAGUAAAAAAGUAGCAAUUACUCAGAAUUAUAAUUUUGGAAGCCGACCAAAACCGUUUUCUACGUGAUUAUGAAUCGCAUUCAAACGCUUCAAAGAUUCGAACCUGCCGCAAUGCUUUCAAUUUCUCAAAUUUUUAUUGCAAUUUUUUGAAAUAAAAAAAAUUUUAGCAG
ensembl:lincRNA linc-149 ncRNA